rnacentral:rRNA from 1 species
GAUUUCUGGCGUGGCGCGGUUGACCCGCUCCGGUUACGGAUGUGAGUGUCGAUACGUGCCUGCCAUCCUUCUGAAGAACGGUUCUGCCCUUCACUGGGUUGGAAUCGCAAUUCGGAUCUUUUACUUUGAAAAAAUUAGAGUGUUUAAAGCAGGCUUUCGCUAUGAAUACAUUAGCAUGGAAUAAUAAUUUAGGACUUUCGUCCUAUUUUGUUGGUUUAUAGGGUGGAAGUAAUGAUUGAUAGGGAUAGUUGGGGGUGCUAGUAUUCAGCGGCCAGAGGUGAAAUUCUUGGAUUCGCUGAAGACUAACUUAUGCGAAAGCAUU